rnacentral:lncRNA from 1 species
GCGUUCGACUCGAUAUUUGGCUCGCUCGAGCUCGACUCGAAAUUAAAUGAGCCGAGCUUGAACAAAAGAAAAAGCUCGAAAUUCAUUUCAAGCCAAGCUUGAGUAUUACUUGGCUCGCUCGAAUUAGGCUCGAAAAGCUCGAAUAUAUAUAUAUUAAAAAUAUAUAAAUAUAAUAUAUUUUAAUUAUAUAUAGACUAAGUGAGUAACCUGAGUUUAGUUAAAAUUGGGCCAAUAUUAAUUAUUGGUCCAUAGAAACAAACCUAAUAGACAAACAAAAGGGCAAAAUUUCACUAAAUUUAUGUUUUCUCCCUUUCUUUAUUUCUUUUACAGAUUUUUAAAUUUUCAAUCUCUUUCUCUCUCUCUCUUUUUCUCUGUCUCUCACCCCAAGUGGCCAAGUCUAAAGCCCUCUAAGUUACUAAGUAGUAGCACGCGUCUAUCGUUGCCUGCCUUGUCAUUAAUUGUAUACUUAAGAAAAUAUACAGAAUAUUAUUAAAGUAAAAAAUUAUUGUUUAUACUACUAAAAAUUCAUGAUUUAGCGGCAUUUACUCCGCAGCAUUUAUAUAAAUAACGCUAAUUAAUAUAUUUAACGGCAUUACUUGAUAAGUGCUGCUAAAUUAAAUAAUUUAGCAGUAAUUUACUAUUAAUAUUACAAAAUAGAAUAAAUUAGCGGCAUAAAUUAGUAAAUGCCGCUGAAAUUUUCGGUAUUUUAUAAAAAAUGACACUAAAUGUAAUAAAGUAGCAGGACUUUAUUGUUAAAUGCUGCAAUAUUUGCUCCGCAACAUUUAUUUAAAUCAUGUCAAUUAAUAUAUUUAGUAGCAUUAAUGAUAAUUGCCGCUAGAUUUAAUUAUUUAGCAGCAAUUUACUAUUAAUGUUGCAAAAUAAGAUAAAUUAGCAGCAUAAAUUAGUGAAUGCCGCUAAAUAUAAUAAACUAGCAGCACUUGUUACUAAAUAUCAUUACUAAUUAAUAUAUAAUUAUUAAUAUAUCCCUUUUUUAUUUAGAAUUAAAAAUUUUAAAAUUAAAGUUUAAAAUUCGAAACAUAUAAUUUUAAAAAUUAAAAUUAUAAUUUUAAAUUUUAAAUUUUAAAAUUUAUAUUUUAAAUUUUAAAUUCUAAAAUUAUUAAUUUUUAAAGUUUAAAUUUUAAAAUUUAUUUUAAAUUUCAAAUUUAAAACUCUUAAUUUUGAAACUUAAAAUUUCAUAUUUCAAAAUUAAAAAUUUAAAUUUAGUAUCUAAAUUUAAAAAUUUAAAAUUUAAAAUUUAAAAAUUUUAAAAUAUAAGACUUAAAAUAUAAAAAUUAAAAUAUACAUAACUAAUAGUCGCUAGCGCAAGUGGCAAAGGGCUUGGUUGUUGGUACUUGAGGUCUCAAGUUCGAAACCUAGUUGAUUCACAUUUCCAGCAAAGUUUAAGACAAAAAGAAAAUGAAGCGGGUAGCAUCUCAAAAAAAUUAAAUAUAAAAUAAAAUUACAAUUUUAAAAUUUUAAUUUCUAAAAGCAGAUAUUUGUAUUAGCGGCAUAUUAUUUAUGUGCCGCUAAUAAACAAUUUAAAAUUUGCAUUUAAUCUCUUUUAGCGGUAUAUUCCUAAUAACACUAAUUGAUUUAUAUUGGCGGCAUUUAUAAUUAAUGUUGCUAAUGCUUUUAGCAAUAUUGGUAUAGGCAGUAUUUGGUGUCAUAUGCUGCUAAAAUUUUUAGCAGCAUUUGUUGGUCAUUUAGCAGCAUAAAUAAAUGCCGCUAAUGACUAAUUUUCUAAUAGUAUAUAUAAAAUUUUGAUUUUAAUUAUAUAUGAUUGGAUAGUUUAAUCCAGUAUUUAUGUAUAUAAUUUAUUUAUUUUUUGGCCGCAUAAAUGAAAAGUAAUAAUUUGGAGAUUGAAGGCAGAAGAGAAGAUAUGUGAGGCUGAAGAGAUUAUAUAUUCAACUCAUACGUUAUUUUUCUUCAUAUUAUAAUACUGUAUUUUAUAUAAUUAUUUUGUACUUUGAACUAUUAUACAUAUUUUUGUAUUAAAUUGUAGAUAAUGUUCUAUACAAUUAAACUAUUGAUCGUAUGAUGUUGAGAAUUUCAAGCGGCUCGUUUAGGGCUCGAGCUCGCUUGACUCGAAAUUAGGCUCGCUCGAACUCGGCUUGAAUUAAUUUCAAAU